UGGUGUUCAGAAUAGAGAACGAAAAGUCCGCUCAUUUGAUCAAGAGGUCGCUGCAUUUUUGGAGUUGCUGACUUCGACGCUGGAAGAGCUGAAGUAGGCGAGGGCCUUGAGGAUGGUUUGUAAUUGACUGGCUACCUCUGUGAUAAGUCGGCUAGCUAAGCCGGUAUCCGAUACCUGUACGUUCGCGGUAUUUUACAACGAGACCUCGCACUGACUCGUCGGUGCCAGGUCUCGAUGGAGAAUACCGCGAACGUAUGAUCCUUCAAGAACGGCGUCGCAAAAGUGUGCGAUUUCGGUGUGGAGAAGUAAGUAAUUAUUCGUUCGUACUCGUAGGUCUACGUUAGGGCUCCCCUCAGCAACAACAGCAGCACGCGCAAGCAUCCAGAAUGGCCAUGACUCGCUGUCCAGGACCUCUGUUAUUUAUGCCGCCAGAGGCUUUGGUAGAGCAACCGGAGUAUGAUCGUCCUCUGGAUGUGUUUUCGCUUGGAGUUACACUGCUAGCUAGCUGUUUUGGCGGGAGUUAUGCAGGGGAUUGACCUCCUCAGCGCACCCUCAGCUGUCGUUCGGCAGGCCAAUGCCCGCAAUGGACGGGAGACGAUGCAGGUGGCUACUAGAGACCAGACCACGUGCUGAAUAUCUGCAACGACUGCCGGACGAGCACCCAUUGAAGCCCCUCAUUCUUCGCUGCCACUGCAAUGAACCCAGCGAGCGACCCAUUGCAGAGGAAGUACACGGGGAAAUGAAGCGAGUGUUACAGAUAUUCACCAGUCUUUCGUCGCCUCAUAAUUCCAAUGUACCACCAGCUAUUGCACAUCGACUGCGCUCUAUCUCUGAACAGCUAACCCAGCAAGCUACGUCCAUCACAGCACUCUCAACACGCAGUGAUACACUAGAGGAACAGCUUACAAUGGCCAUUACCAACAACCAGACGACAACACAACAACAACUGACUGCAACAGAACAGCAACUGACUGAAACACAUGACCAGGUAUCCACCUUUCAAGAUGAACAGAGAACUGCAACCCUGCGACUGACUGAACAUCUGGCUGCCAUUGCUCACAACCAAGCCACAACACAACAACAACAACUUACUGCUACUCAACAACAAGUGUCCGCUGUUCGAAAUGAACAAACUGCCACAAACCGCAGAGUCGAAGCACUGGCAGACCAGCUCAGUGAUACACACCAACGACUUGAACAACAACUGACAACAACACUAACUCACCAGCACACACACACACACACACCUCCCGACAAAUCUCUUCAUUGAAUGCGGGUCACGCUGUGUCGAUGUCUAGCCAUCCAUCAAGAACAUCUGCUACAACCACCCAUCAGGUAUCUGCUCCAGCACGUAUCACUCCGCAUGAGAAAGCCUGUCAUGUUCUGCUUCUGCCACUUUCCUUGUCUCUUCUCCAGCAACUAGAUCGAUAAACUGAAAGCACAGAUGCCUCAGGCGCUAGAAGAGCCUGCCGUGCCAACACCAAGCCAGAUUGCAUCAACCGAGGAGCACAGACGGGUAGGAGAUAACACUAUGUCGCUAGCUCGGUUCUUUUUCAUUUUCUGAUCUCGAUGCGUGGAACACUCAAUCAGCUGAGCGAAGACGAAACCGGAAAUUCCACGAAUAUUUAUCGUGUGUUCCGGAGUCAGAGCUGCAUGGUUUUGUUUCAAGGAAUCAGUUGUAGAUUGGCUAUGAGGGAGUAUUCAUUCACCAUGUAGGAGAGUGUCUCUACUCUCUGGACAUGAGUGUUUGAGUGUACCCUUUUCUAUUUUGUUUAAUCGCUAGAGAGACAGUCAGUGAGUGCCAUGCAAUGCUUGCUUUUUUUACUGCCGUAAGUCAACACAUUUUCGGCGUCUGUCUAU